UUAGUGGAAGCGUCUGGAAAGGCGCGCGAUACAGGGUGACAGCCCCGUACACAAAAGCGCAUGUGCUGUGAGCUCGAUGAGUAGGGCGGGACACGUGGUAUCCUGUCUGAAUAUGGGGGGACCAUCCUCCAAGGCUAAAUACUCCUGACUGACCGAUAGUGAACCAGUACCGUGAGGGAAAGGCGAAAAGAACCCCGGCGAGGGGAGUGAAAAAGAACCUGAAACCGUGUACGUACAAGCAGUGGGAGCCCCACCACCAAAGCAUUCUCUGGUGUUGAAGGCCCUGCAAAGCAGCAUCGCGGUGGCGGAGCGUCGUUUGCGACGCCCAACACACAAAACAAGCGGUGAGUGCUUUGGGGUGGGGUGACUGCGUACCUUUUGUAUAAUGGGUCAGCGACUUAUAUUCUGUAGCAAGGUUAACCGAAUAGGGGAGCCGGAGGGAAACCGAGUCUUAAUUGGGCGUUAAGUUGCAGGGUAUAGACCCGAAACCCGGUGAUCUAGCCAUGGGCAGGUUGAAGGUUGGGUAACACUAACUGGAGGACCGAACCGACUAAUGUUGAAAAAUUAGCGGAUGACCUGUGGCUGGGGGUGAAAGGCCAAUCAAACCGGGAGAUAGCUGGUUCUCCCCGAAAGCUAUUUAGGUAGCGCCUCGUGAAUUCAUCUCCGGGGGUAGAGCACUGUUUCGGCUAGGGGGCCAUCCCGGCUUACCAACCCGAUGCAAACUGCGAAUACCGGAGAAUGUUAUCACGGGAGACACACGGCGGGUGCUAACGUCCGUCGUGAAGAGGGAAACAACCCAGACCGCCAGCUAAGGUCCCAAAGUCAUGGUUAAGUGGGAAACGAUGUGGGAAGGCCCAGACAGCCAGGAUGUUGGCUUAGAAGCAGCCAUCAUUUAAAGAAAGCGUA
rnacentral:rRNA from 1 species